rnacentral:tRNA from 1 species
GAAAUGUAUUGUUAAGAAAAAGCUGCUAACUUUUAUCUUUAAUGGUUUAAUUCCAUUAACGUUUCU